UACGUAGGGUGCAAGCGUUGUCCGGAAUUAUUGGGCGUAAAGAGCUUGUAGGCGGUUUGUCGCGUCUGCUGUGAAAUUUCGGGGCUCAACCCCGAACUUGCAGUGGGUACGGGCAGACUAGAGUGUGGUAGGGGGAGACUGGAAUUCCUGGUGUAGCGGUGAAAUGCGCAGAUAUCAGGAGGAACACCGAUGGCGAAGGCGGUUCUCUGGGCCUGACCUGACGCUGAGGAGCGAAAGCGUGGGGAGCGAACAGG
rnacentral:rRNA from 1 species